CAGCGGCAGCAGCAGCAGCAUUGAGUACAAUUUCAACUUUUCGAUCUCCUCUUCCGCCAAUUCAUCAGGCCUUGAUCAUGGUGGCUUCAAUAGGGGGACCCUUCAGUCCAAUUCAUCAUCGCCGUCACUUCUGCCUCACCUCCAGAGGUACUCCGACGGAUCCGCCCCGAGUUUCUUCCUCGGCACCGCCGAAACCCAACACCAGUUCCUCUCCGGCUACGACCCCCGCGGCCUGCAGCUCUGCUACGGCGACGCCCACGCCAGCAGCGGCCGCCACUCCGCCCAGAGAGGAGGGAAAAGCAAGAACUGAAGCGACGUCGUCCAACUGGUAAAAUGUGAAGACAAGAAAAUGAAACAGGCGCAAUGGCUGAACAGAGCGCCGCGCCCUGUAUUAUGAUUAUUAUGCCUCUGGAUUUCUAAUUGUUCUGUUCCAACUCCCAUUCUAUUAGCACUAUCUGUUGCACAUUGCUGCUCUAUUUAUUAUAUAUUGUGCCCAACGCAGCAGUUUGUUUGUGUUUGCGUGAUUGAUUGAUGAGAAAAUGUCUUGCUGCA